AGAGUUUGAUCCUGGCUCAGAUUGAUCGCUGGCGGCAGGCCUAACACAUGCAAGUCGAGCGGUAGAGAGAAGCUUGCUUCUCUUGAGAGCGGCGGACGGGUGAGUAAUGCCUAGGAAUCUGCCUGGUAGUGGGGGAUAACGUUCGGAAACGGACGCUAAUACCGCAUACGUCCUACGGGAGAAAGCAGGGGACCUUCGGGCCUUGCGCUAUCAGAUGAGCCUAGGUCGGAUUAGCCAGUUGGUGAGGUAAUGGCUCACCAAGGCGACGAUCCGUAACUGGUCUGAGAGGAUGAUCAGUCACACUGGAACUGAGACACGGUCCGGACUCCUACGGGAGGCAGCAGUGGGGAAUAUUGGACAAUGGGCGAAAGCCUGAUCCAGCCAUGCCGCGUGUGUGAAGAAGGUCUUCGGAUUGUAAAGCACUUUAAGUUGGGAGGAAGGGCAGUAAAUUAAUACUUUGCUGUUUUGACGUUACCGACAGAAUAAGCACCGGCUAACUCUGUGCCAGCAGCCGCGGUAAUACAGAGGGUGCAAGCGUUAAUCGGAAUUACUGGGCGUAAAGCGCGCGUAGGUGGUUUGUUAAGUUGGAUGUGAAAUCCCCGGGCUCAACCUGGGAACUGCAUUCAAAACUGACUGACUAGAGUAUGGUAGAGGGUGGUGGAAUUUCCUGUGUAGCGGUGAAAUGCGUAGAUAUAGGAAGGAACACCAGUGGCGAAGGCGACCACCUGGACUAAUACUGACACUGAGGUGCGAAAGCGUGGGGAGCAAACAGAAUUAGAUACCCUGGUAGUCCACGCCGUAAACGAUGUCAACUAGCCGUUGGAAGCCUUGAGCUUUUAGUGGCGCAGCUAACGCAUUAAGUUGACCGCCUGGGGAGUACGGCCGCAAGGUUAAAACUCAAAUGAAUUGACGGGGGCCCGCACAAGCGGUGGAGCAUGUGGUUUAAUUCGAAGCAACGCGAAGAACCUUACCAGGCCUUGACAUCCAAUGAACUUUCUAGAGAUAGAUUGGUGCCUUCGGGAACAUUGAGACAGGUGCUGCAUGGCUGUCGUCAGCUCGUGUCGUGAGAUGUUGGGUUAAGUCCCGUAACGAGCGCAACCCUUGUCCUUAGUUACCAGCACGUCAUGGUGGGCACUCUAAGGAGACUGCCGGUGACAAACCGGAGGAAGGUGGGGAUGACGUCAAGUCAUCAUGGCCCUUACGGCCUGGGCUACACACGUGCUACAAUGGUCGGUACAGAGGGUUGCCAAGCCGCGAGGUGGAGCUAAUCCCACAAAACCGAUCGUAGUCCGGAUCGCAGUCUGCAACUCGACUGCGUGAAGUCGGAAUCGCUAGUAAUCGCGAAUAAGAAUGUCGCGGUGAAUACGUUCCCGGGCCUUGCCCUCACCGCCCGUC
rnacentral:rRNA from 1 species